AACGGUCUAUACCUGCGGUACCUGCGGAAGGAUCAUUACAGAGUUCAUGCCCUCACGGGUAGAUCUCCCACCCUUGAAUACUAUACCUUUGUUGCUUUGGCGGGCCGCUUUGGCUACUGGCUCUGGCUAGUAAGUGCCCGCCAAAGAACCCCAAAACUCUGAAUAUUAGUGUCGUCUGAGUACUAUAUAAUAGUUAAAACUUUCAGCAAUGGAUCUCU
rnacentral:misc_RNA from 1 species